rnacentral:rRNA from 1 species
UACGAAGGGUGCUAGCGUUGUUCGGAAUGACUGGGCGUAAAGGGCGCGUAGGCGGUGAGAUACGUCUGAUGUGAAAUCCCCGGGCUUAACCUGGGAACUGCAUUGGAUACGGUCUUGCUAGAGUCCGCGAGAGGAAGAUGGAAUUGUGCGUGUAGAGGUGAAAUUCGUAGAUAUGCACAAGAACACCGGUGGCGAAGGCGAUCUUCUGGAGCGGUACUGACGCUAAGGCGCGAAAGCGUGGGGAGCAAACAGG